GAUGAACGCUGGCGGCGUGCCUAAUACAUGCAAGUCGAGCGAACAGACGAGGAUCUUGCUCCUCUCACGUUAGCGGCGGACGGGUGAGUCACACGUGGGUAACCUACCUAUAAGGCUGGGAUAACUUCGGGAAACCUGAGCUCAUACCGGAUAAUAUAUUGAACCGCAUGGUUCAAUAGUGAAAGACGGUUUUGCUGGCACUUAUAGGUGGUUCCGCGCCGCAUUAGCUAGUUGGUAAGGUAACGGCUUACCAAGGCAACGAUGCGUAGCCGACCUGAGAGGGCGAUCGGCCACACUGGAACUGAGACACGGUCCAGACUCCUACGGGAGGCAGCAGUAGGGAAUUUUCGGCAAUGGGCGAAAGCCUGACCGAGCAACGCCGCGUGAGUGAUGAAGGUCUUCGGAUCGUAAACCUCUGUUAUUAGGGAAGAACAAAUGUGUACGUAAACAUGCACGUCUUGACGGUACCGAAUCAGAAAGCAACGGCUAACUACGUG
rnacentral:rRNA from 1 species